AAUUUCAUAAAUUUAUUCCUCUCAUAAUGUAAGUGAUCUUCAUGACUUUCUUGAUGAUUUUUACAUUUUUGGCAUGCUUGUUUCAUGGGCUUUCAUAUGAGAGGAAUAUUUUGAAAAGUGGUGAUAAGUCUAGGGAUUUUACAUGAGAGAGUUUAUGUUGUUUCAUGAAAUUUUAUGAAAGAAAAUAAUUCUUAGAAGAGUUCUAAACAACUUUUGUGAAAGGUGUUGGCAUGAAAACACCUAAAGGGACAAUUUUGCAUAAGUUGCAAAAUAAGUUGCAAGUGUGUGAAAUAGUGAGGUUUUGGGGCUGCUAUAAGAGUAAAAAGAGUUUGGCUAGACUUGAAAUAUGAAGAAAUUUGAUAAAAAUCGAUUUUUGAGCAUAGGGGUAAAAUGGUCAUUUUGUAAAGUUUUAGGGGUAAAAUGGUCAGUUUACCAAAGAUGUGAAAUUAUGAAUGACUAAUUGUAAUUAAUGACUAAAUGAGUACAUUUUUGCUAUUAUAGAUCAAGAUUUAUGAAAACCGAGCCUAGAUCGGGGCAAAGCCAAGCAAUCCGAUUAAGCCGUCUAGUCAAGUACUUUUUGUAAAUCGAGGUAAGUUGUAUGUAAAUAAUACAACUAUAUUGUUAAAUGCAUGUAUUCGAUUGUUAUUUAUUUUGAUAUAUUAUGAAUUUCUAGAUUUUGAACUGAGUAUGCAUAUUUAUGAUUGAGAAAGUAGAAAGAUCCAGUGAGAACCCCAGGGAACAAAUCGGAUGUUCAUGCCAUAACAUUGGGUUAUGUGAGAGCCAGUGUAAGACGUGUCCGGGACAUGCAUCGGCUAAGCUUCGUGCUAGUGUAAGACAUGUCUGGGACAUGCAUCCGCACUUACACACGAGAGCUAGUGUAAGACCAUGUCUAGGACAUGGCAUCAGCCUCAAUGAAGAUACCCAGUGUAAGACCAUGUCUUGGACAUGGCAUCGGCAACUUAACCCAUGUUUGAGGCUUAUAGAAUAUCCGGUAGCAUUCCAACCUUAAGAGUUAAGAAAGAGAUUUAAUCAGAAAAGUAUGAUAAUGUUUUGAGUGUUACAGGUACCUAUUUUGGUAUACAUGUGUAAUGAUCUUAAUUAGAAAAUGUGACUUGAAUGGACGGUAAUGAGUAAGUCAAGUUAUGCUUACUUUCUUUCCUUUCUCUUUUCUUUCAGUACUGCCAAAUUUCUUAAGGAUCCCUUGAAGUCAGAGAUAUCGAUCACACUAUCAGCCGUAAUACUCGGUAUAGUUGGAUUUAUAUUUUUUAUUAUGGCAUGU
rnacentral:lncRNA from 1 species